CUCUGAGCGCAUGCCAUGCACGCACGCACACCAAGCGGUCGGGUUGGAAUGGAAAAGCACACUGAAACUGUCAAACCUUUGCACGCCAUGCAUACACGAUAGCAAAGCUGUCACUUUGCAAGUAGAAUUCAAUUAAUUAACUUUUUUUUUUUAUGCCUACAUUUGUGCUUGUUUUGCAUUUUGCAGAGGCAUUUUAAACAAUCAUGUUUGCCUAUAAGAACGUUCUGCAGUGUCAGCUAUGAUGCACACAUUGAUAUGUAAUAUGUUGACAUAAGCAUACCUGUUCAGUCAACUGUAAACCUAUUUGCAAUUACCAAGAACAAGAUAUAAUGUGUUUUAGAGCAGGCAGCAGGCAAUGCAUUCAGAACGCAAAAUGUGUUAUGAGUGACUUCCAUAUAUGAACGUUUGACUGGGCCUACAGAGGAAACAACUCAGAGACCCAAUGAUAGUCAGGAAGGAGAGACAUACAAUAUGUAUCUUCAUGAAACGGAAACAGGAAGUGUGCUUCAGCCAACAUAUCAGUAGAAGAAUAGAGUAUUGGAAGAACGGUGUACGCUACUGGUGUAGGAGUCAGGUGCAGGAGAGCAGAGAGCAGAGGCUUUAUUUAGGCAGAGGCAAUUAAACAGACAGACGCCACUGCGUCAAAACCUCCAGCCAAAGGUAAAAAGUGCAAGGCGCGAAACAGUCACAAAAAUAAGCAAAUGUUUAACAAUAAACAUCCUUUGUGAAAUACCACGGAAAUACAGAGGAAAACCCAGCUUGGCGCGUAACACGAAACACGACAAAAACUAUAUCACACAAAGACAUGGGGGGGAACAGAGGAAUAAAUACAUGCAGUGUGAUUAGGGAAUGUAAACCAGGUGUGCAGGGAACAAGACAAAACAACUGGAUACAUGAAAAAUGGAGCGGCGAUAGCUAGAAAGCCGGUGACGUCGACCGCCAAACGCCGCCCGAACAAGGAGAGGAGCCGACUUUGGCGGAAGUCGUGACAAUGUGUGAGUUGAGGGGGGGGGAGUAUUGUCUGUAGCUUGAUGAGGAAAUAAAACAAUUUAAUCAAUUUUAGAAUAAGGCUGUAACUUCACAAAAUGUGAAAAAAUUCAAGGGGUCUGAAUAAUUUCUGAAUGCACUGUAUAUGUACUGCAACUAGCUAUUUGAGGUAACAGAAUGUGUGAGUUGGGGGGAGGGGAGUUAUACAGGAUAUGCUAGUUAUUUUAAGGUCAUUGUGAAUGAUCUGUAUGCCGUUAGAUAAGGAAACUCUAUUAGCUACAGUGCCUUCAGAAACUAUUCAUACCCCUUGACUUAUUCAACAUUUUGUGGUGUUACAGCCUGAAUUCAAAAUUGAUUCUCACCCAUCUAUGCAUUUAUUUGCCAUGUCUUCAAUUUAAGCCUACUAGAAAGUGUGUGCCCUCAGGCCUGGAGGGAAGCUAAAGUCAUUCCGCUAUCCAAGAAUAGUAAAGUCCCCUUUACUGUCUCAAAUAGCUGACCAAUCAGCCUGUUACCAACUCUUUGUGAACUUCUGGAAAAAAUGGUGUUUGACCAGAUACAAUGCUAUUUCACAGUAAACAAAUUGACAACAGACUUUCAGCACGCUUAUAAGGGAAGGACACUCAACAAGCACAGCACUUACACAAAUGACUGAUGAUUGGCUGAGAGAAAUUGAUGAUAAAAUGAUUGUGGGGGCUGUCUUGUUAGAAUUCAGUUCAGCUUUUGACAUUCUUGAUCGUAGUCUGCUGCUUGAAAAACGUAUGUAUUAUGGCUUUACACCCCCUACUAUAAUGCGGAUAAAGAGUUACUUGUCUAAGAGAACACAGAGGGUGUUCUUUAAUGGAAGCCUCUCAAACAUAAUCCAGAUAGAAUCAGGAAUUCCCCAGGGUAGCUGUUUAGGCGCCUUGCUUUUUUUCAAUUUUUACUUAAAGACAUGCCACUGACUUUGAGUAAAGCCAGAGUCUCUAUGUAUGCGGAUGACUCAACAUUAUACACAUCAGCUACUACAGUGACUGAAAUGGCAGCAACACUUAAAGAGUUGCAGUUCGUUUCAGAGUGGAUGGUAAGGAAUAAGUUUGCCCAAAAUAUUUCUAAAACUAAAAGCAUUGUAUUUGGGACAAAACAAUCACUAAACCCUAAACCACAACUAAAUCUUGUAAUAAAUAAUGUGGAAAUUGAGCACGUUGAGAUAACUAAACUGCUUGGAGUAACCCUGGAUUGUAAACUGUCAUGGUCAAAACACAUUGAUACAAUAGUAGCUGAGAUGGGGAGAAGUCUGUCCAUAAUAAAGCGCUGCUCUAUCAACAAGGCAGGUCCUACAGGCCCUAGUUUUGUCGCACCUUGACUACUAUUCAGUUGUGUGGUCAGGUGCCUCAAAAAAGGACUUAGGAAAAUUGUAAUUGGCCCAGAACAGGGCAGCACGGCUGGUCCUUGGAUGUACACAGAGCUAACAUAAUAUUCAUGUCAAUCUCUACUGGCUCAAAGUGGAGGAGAGAUUGACUUCGUCACUACUUUUAUUUAUGAGAGGUGUUGACAUGUUGAAUGCAUCAAGCUAUCUGUCUAAACUACUGGCACACAGGUCGGAAUCCCAUGCAUACCCCUCAGGGGGCUAGGGUCAGUCUGUUAUAUCUGUAGUAUUUAUCCUGUCUUAUCUGGUGUCCUAUGGGAAUUUAAGUAUGUUCUCUCUAACUCUCUCUCUUUCUCUCUUUUUCUCUCUUUCUUUCUCUCUUUCUUUCUCUCUUUCUUCCUCUCUUUCUUUGUUUCUUUCUUUCUCUCUCUCUCUCUCUGAGGACCUGAGCCCUAGGAUCAUGCCUCAGGACUACUUGGCCUG